rnacentral:rRNA from 1 species
CUUCUUCGGAGUGAUUAAAGUGGCGCACGGGUGAGUAACGCGUAGACAAUCUGCCCUUCAGUCCGGGACAACUUUCCGAAAGGGGAGCUAAUACCGGAUAACAAUGUUUAACAUAAGUUGAAUAUUUGAAAGCUCCGGCGCUGAUGGAUGAGUCUGCGUCCCAUUAGCUUGUUGGUGCGGUAGCGGCGCACCAAGGCCACGAUGGGUAGCGGGUUUGAGAGGACGAUCCGCCACACUGGAACUGAGACACGGUCCAGACUCCUACGGGAGGCAGCAGUGGGGAAUAUUGCACAAUGGAGGAAACUCUGAUGCAGCAAUGCCGCGUGAGUGAAGAAGGCCCUUGGGUCGUAAAGCUCUUUUAUGGGGGAAGAUGAUGACGGUACCCCAAGAAUAAGCACCGGCUAACUACGUGCCAGCAGCCGCGGUAAUACGUAGGGUGCGAGCGUUGUUCGGAAUUACUGGGCGUAAAGGGCGCGCAGGCGGAGGUGCAAGUCGGAGGUGAAAGCCCGGGGCUCAACCCCGGAGGGUCUUUCGAAACUGCAUCUCUAGAGAGGGUCAGGGGCCGGCAGAAUUCCUGGUGUAGAGGUGAAAUUCGUAGAUAUCGGAGGAAUACCGGUGGCGAAAGCGGGCCGGCUGGGGCCACUCUGACGCUGAGGCGCGAAAGCGUGGG